rnacentral:rRNA from 2 species
AACGAACGCUGGCGGCAGGCUUAACACAUGCAAGUCGAGCGCCCCGCAAGGGGAGCGGCAGACGGGUGAGUAACGCGUGGGAAUCUACCCAUCUCUACGGAAUAACUCAGGGAAACUUGUGCUAAUACCGUAUACGCCCUUAGGGGGAAAGAUUUAUCGGAGAUGGAUGAGCCCGCGUUGGAUUAGCUAGUUGGUGGGGUAAAGGCCUACCAAGGCGACGAUCCAUAGCUGGUCUGAGAGGAUGAUCAGCCACAUUGGGACUGAGACACGGCCCAAACUCCUACGGGAGGCAGCAGUGGGGAAUAUUGGACAAUGGGCGCAAGCCUGAUCCAGCCAUGCCGCGUGAGUGAUGAAGGCCUUAGGGUUGUAAAGCUCUUUCACCGGAGAAGAUAAUGACGGUAUCCGGAGAAGAAGCCCCGGCUAACUUCGUGCCAGCAGCCGCGGUAAUACGAAGGGGGCUAGCGUUGUUCGGAAUUACUGGGCGUAAAGCGCACGUAGGCGGACCGAUCAGUCAGGGGUGAAAUCCCAGAGCUCAACUCUGGAACUGCCUUUGAUACUGUCGAUCUAGAGUAUGGAAGAGGUGAGUGGAAUUCCGAGUGUAGAGGUGAAAUUCGUAGAUAUUCGGAGGAACACCAGUGGCG